rnacentral:rRNA from 1 species
UACGGGGGGGGCAAGCGUUGUUCGGAAUUACUGGGCGUAAAGGGCUCGUAGGCGGCCAACUAAGUCAGACGUGAAAUCCCCAGGCUUAACCUGGGAACUGCGUCUGAUACUGGAUGGCUUGAGUUCGGGAGAGGGAUGCGGAAUUCCAGGUGUAGCGGUGAAAUGCGUAGAUAUCUGGAGGAACACCGGUGGCGAAGGCGGCAUCCUGGACCGACACUGACACUGAGGAGCGAAAGCCAGGGGAGCAAACGGG